rnacentral:lncRNA from 1 species
ACUGUAAUUCAUUGGACAUGGAUGCCAUUGUGCAGCACCUAACUUUAUUGUCAUUGUUCGUCCACUUAGCAUGCGUCUUACGCUGAUCAGUGAUCGGAUAGUUUGGUAACACGGGGAUUCCAUGGUCUAGUACAUACCCUAAUUUCUCACAAUUCAAAACUAUUUUGAAAUUUGCUGAGCCAGUCUUUAUAAUUGGGUUUGGUCAAACGGUUGUUCUAUAGGAUAUGAGUUAAAAGUCUAGAAGCUGACAUUAUAAUCCUCAGAGAGUAAAGAUUCUAGUUAGAAUUUUGUACUUGAUUCUAAUUUGUUCUAGGGUCUUUUAGAACAAAUGUACCUCCUAAUAUUUUCUCGAAUUUCUCACACUCCUCUGGUAGGAAAACGAAAAUCCUACACGACUAGAAUUUCUAGUGGGUACUGCGGUCCCACCGAUUUACAUGCCAGCUCACCUAACAGUUAUUGGUGACACAUAGAUUGAUGAAUAUACAACUCUUGUACAAUGCUUCUCAAGCAUGUUGCAGUGCUUCUUGGUCUCUAAGCCAUGAAGACCUCACCUAACAGUUAUUGGUCCCAUUUCUUAGUUAAGUCAGACCCACCGUAUAACCAUGGAAUAAAGUCAUCAUUGGGUCCUCACCUAACAGUUAUUGGUGCCCAACCCCACCUUUACCCUACAACAUCUCAUAUCUAUAGAGAGGUCCAGCCCCCCGAUGCAACUUGCCCACUGUAACCAGCCGAGACAAAUCAACAUCAGAAAGACCUUAGUAGCUCUACUACAGUGGAAGACCUAUUGACUUAAUAUUGGUUAUUCAGGUCUUAGUGUUUGCAACAUGAGCUCUUCAUAAGAGGUAAUCGAACAAUUGGCCAGGUAAGCAGGUGGGAGGCUCCCCUUACUCAGAGAGUAAGGUCCUAAUUAAGUAACCACCUUUCAUGCUUUCCUAGACACCAAUUAGAUCAAUUAAUCUAAUAUGACUCGCUCAUGUUGGUUCACUCUUGACUUGAUUGAGGAGGUUUUAAUUUAGGUCUCAAUUGGAUUUGCUACAUCA